GCCGGAGUAGCUCAAUGGUAGAGCAAUGGUUUUGUAAACCAUUUGUUGGGGGUUCAAUUCCUCUCUCCGGCU
rnacentral:tRNA from 3 species